GGCGGUUAGAUAANUCUGAAGUUAAAGGCUGUGGCUUAACCAUAGUACGCUUUGGAAACUGUUUAACUUGAGUGCAGAAGGGGAGAGUGGAAUUCCAUGUGUAGCGGUGAAAUGCGUAGAUAUAUGGAGGAACACCGGUGGCGAAAGCGGCUCUCUGGUCUGUAACUGACGCUGAGGCUCGAAAGCGUGGGGAGCGAACAGGAUUAGAUACCCUGGUAGUCCACGCCGUAAACGAUGAGUGCUAGGUGUUAGGCCCUUUCCGGGGCUUAGUGCCGCAGCUAACGCAUUAAGCACUCCGCCUGGGGAGUACGACCGCAAGGUUGAAACUCAAAGGAAUUGACGGGGGCCCGCACAAGCGGUGGAGCAUGUGGUUUAAUUCGAAGCAACGCGAAGAACCUUACCAGGUCUUGACAUCCCGAUGCCCGCUCUAGAGAUAGAGUUUUACUUCGGUACAUCGGUGACAGGUGGUGCAUGGUUGUCGUCAGCUCGUGUCGUGAGAUGUUGGGUUAAGUCCCGCAACGAGCGCAACCCUUAUUGUUAGUUGCCAUCAUUCAGUUGGGCACUCUAGCGAGACUGCCGGUAAUAAACCGGAGGAAGGUGGGGAUGACGUCAAAUCAUCAUGCCCCUUACGACCUGGGCUACACACGUGCUACAAUGGCUGGUACAACGAGUCGCAAGUCGGUGACGGCAAGCUAAUCUCUUAAAGCCAGUCUCAGUUCGGAUUGUAGGCUGCAACUCGCCUACAUGAAGUCGGAAUCGCUAGUAAUCGCGGAUCAGCACGCCGCGGUGAAUACGUUCCCGGGCCUUGUACACACCGCCCGUCACACCACGAGAGUUUGUAACACCCGAAGUCGGUGAGGUANCCUUUUAGGAGCCA
rnacentral:rRNA from 1 species